rnacentral:rRNA from 1 species
UCGAACGAGAGAAUUGCUAGCUUGCUAAUAAUUCUCUAGUGGCGCACGGGUGAGUAACACGUGAGUAACCUGCCCCCGAGAGCGGGAUAGCCCUGGGAAACUGGGAUUAAUACCGCAUAGUAUCGAAAGAUUAAAGCAGCAAUGCGCUUGGGGAUGGGCUCGCGGCCUAUUAGUUAGUUGGUGAGGUAACGGCUCACCAAGGCGAUGACGGGUAGCCGGUCUGAGAGGAUGUCCGGCCACACUGGAACUGAGACACGGUCCAGACACC